rnacentral:lncRNA from 1 species
ACGAUCGUGAAGCCUUGUUGGUGGACAUCCUCUUGGCUUUGCGGUGAGGGGUCAAAUGCAGAUGUCGUGAGUUGAGAUUGGCUGGAAGGCGUGGAUGGCUCCAGUUGGAGUGAAGGCCACGAUGCAGUCCGUCCUAGUUAAAGAUACGACUCUGGAAGGUUGGCACGAUCGUGAAGCCUUGUUGGUGGACAUCCUCUUGGCUUUGCGGUGAGGGGUCAAAUGCAGAUGUCGUGAGUUGAGAUUGGCUGGAAGGCGUGGAUGGCUCCAGUUGGAGUGAAGGCCACGAUGCAGUCCGUCCUAGUUAAAGAUACGACUCUGGAAGGUUGGCACGAUCGUGAAGCCUUGUUGGUGGACAUCCUCUUGGCUUUGCGGUGAGGGGUCAAAUGCAGAUGUCGUGAGUUGAGAUUGGCUGGAAGGCGUGGAUGGCUCCAGUUGGAGUGAAGGCCACGAUGCAGUCCGUCCUAGUUAAAGAUACGACUCUGGAAGGUUGGCACGAUCGUGAAGCCUUGUUGGUGGACAUCCUCUUGGCUUUGCGGUGAGGGGUCAAAUGCAGAUGUCGUGAGUUGAGAUUGGCUGGAAGGCGUGGAUGGCUCCAGUUGGAGUGAAGGCCACGAUGCAGUCCGUCCUAGUUAAAGAUACGACUCUGGAAGGUUGGCACGAUCGUGAAGCCUUGUUGGUGGAUAUCCUCUUGGCUUUGCGGUGAGGGGUCAAAUGCAGAUGUCGUGAGUUGAGAUUGGCUGGAAGGCGUGGAUGGCUCCAGUUGGAGUGAAGGCCACGAUGCAGUCCGUCCUAGUUAAAGAUACGACUCUGGAAGGUUGGCACGAUCGUGAAGCCUUGUUGGUGGACAUCCUCUUGGCUUUGCGGUGAGGGGUCAAAUGCAGAUGUCGUGAGUUGAGAUUGGCUGGAAGGCGUGGAUGGCUCCAGUUGGAGUGAAGGCCACGAUGCAGUCCGUCCUAGUUAAAGAUACGACUCUGGAAGGUUGGCACGAUCGUGAAGCCUUAUUGGUGGACAUCCUUUUGGCUUUGCGGUGAGGGGUCAAAUGCAGAUGUCGUGAGUUGAGAUUGGCUGAAAGGCGUGGAUAGCUCCAGUUGGAGUGAAGGCCACGAUACGGUCAUGAGGCCAAAUGCAAACGUCGCCAGUUAAGGCCGACUGGGUGGUGUAGAUGGGUCCAGUAAGAGUGAAGGCCACGAUACGGUCAUGAGGCCAAAUGCAAACGUCGCCAGUUAAGGCCGACUGGGUGGUGUAGAUGGGUCCAGUAAGAGUGAAGGCCACGAUACGGUCAUGACGCCAAAUGCAAACGUCGCCAGUUAAGGCCGACUGGGUGGUGUAGAUGGGUCCAGUAAGAGUGAAGGCCACGAUACGGUCAUGACGCCAAAUGCAAACGUCGCCAGUUAAGGCCGACUGGGUGGUGUAGAUGGGUCCAGUAAAAGUGAAGGCCACGAUACGGUCAUGAGGCCAAAUGCAAACGUCGCCAGUUAAGGCCGACUGGGUGGUGUAGAUGGGUCCAGUAAGAGUGAAGGCCACGAUACGGUCAUGAGGCCAAAUGCAAACGUCGCCAGUUAAGGCCGACUGGGUGGUGUAGAUGGGUCCAGUAAGAGUGAAGGCCUCGAGGCAGUCCUAGGAACGCA